rnacentral:rRNA from 1 species
UUUUAUUUGAGAGUUUGAUCCUGGCUCAGGAUGAACGCUGGCGGCGUGCCUAACACAUGCAAGUUGAGCGAUUUACUUCGGUAAAGAGCGGCGGACGGGUGAGUAACGCGUGGGUAACCUCCCCUGUACACACGGAUAACAUACCGAAAGGUAUGCUAAUACGGGAUAAUAUAUUUGAGAGGCAUCUCUUGAAUAUCAAAGGUGAGCCAGUACAGGAUGGACCCGCGUCUGAUUAGCUAGUUGGUAAGGUAACGGCUUACCAAGGCGACGAUCAGUAGCCGACCUGAGAGGGUGAUCGGCCACAUU